rnacentral:rRNA from 1 species
UUACGGUCAAAUCACGCUGAAACACCGGUUCUCGUACGAUCACCGAAGUUAAGCAGCGUAGAGCCAGGUCAGUACUUAGAUGGGGGACCACUUGGGAACACCUGGUACUGUAA